rnacentral:rRNA from 1 species
UAGGGAAUCUUCGGCAAUGGACGGAAGUCUGACCGAGCAACGCCGCGUGAGUGAAGAAGGUUUUCGGAUCGUAAAGCUCUGUUGUAAGAGAAGAACGAGUGUGAGAGUGGAAAGUUCACACUGUGACGGUAUCUUACCAGAAAGGGACGGCUAACUACGUGCCAGCAGCCGCGGUAAUACGUAGGUCCCGAGCGUUGUCCGGAUUUAUUGGGCGUAAAGCGAGCGCAGGCGGUUAGAUAAGUCUGAAGUUAAAGGCUGUGGCUUAACCAUAGUACGCUUUGGAAACUGUUUAACUUGAGUGCAAGAGGGGGGAGUGGAAUUCCAUGUGUAGCGGUGAAAUGCGUAGAUAUAUGGAGGAACACCGGUGGCGAAAGCGGCUCUCUGGCUUGUAACUGACGCUGAGGCUCGAAAGCGUGGGGAGCAAACAGGAUUAGAUACCCUGGUAGUCCACGCUGUAAACGAUGAGUGCUAGGUGUUAGACCCUUUCCGGGGUUUAGUGCCGCAGCUAACGCAUUAAGCACUCCGCCUGGGGAGUACGACCGCAAGGUUG